GCCAUCCUUGGGAUACCACCCUUGUAGUACUGGGACUCUAACCAUAGGCCAUGAAUCUGGUCUUGGGACACUGUCAGGUGGGCAGUUUGACUGGGGCGGUCGCCUCCCAAAAGGUAACGGAGGCGCUCAAAGGUUCUCUCAGUACGGCCGGAAAUCGUACGUAGAGUGUAAAGGCAAAAGAGAGCUUGAGUGCAAGCCAUACAGGUCGAGCAAGGAUGAAAAUCGGACUUAGUGAUCCGGUGGGUCUGCGUGGGAGGGCCAUCGCCCCACGGACAAAAGCUACCCUGGGGAUCACAGGCGUCUCUCCCCCACGAGUCCACAGCGACGGGGAGGUUUGGCACCUCGAUGUCGGCCCGUCACCCCCUGGGGCUGAAGUAGGUCCCAAGGGUUGGGCUGUUCGCCCAUUA
rnacentral:rRNA from 1 species